AUUGGGGUAGUUUAAAUAGAAUAAUAAGUUGUGGCCUUAUAGGUGGGGUUAAUUUCCCCCCCCGAUU
rnacentral:tRNA from 1 species